rnacentral:misc_RNA from 1 species
GUGAAUCAUCGAAUCUUUGAACGCAAACUGCACUCUCUUCGGAGAGUAUGCCUGUUUGAGGGUCAGCCUAUAAAAAAUCGACAUAGUUGCUGUUUCGCGGUAACAUUCGUCGGAAAUUGGGUCAUCUUAAACCUUUUGGUUUAAACGGAUUAAAAAUUUCUUUACGAGUUCAAUGACUGUUCUUAAGAUUUAUUUCCUUAUACGUUUAAGGUAUCGAUCUUUAUUAGACGUGGCCAUCAUAUCGGAUCGCUCCCAUAAUCUUUUCGUUAUCU